rfam:Nitrospirae bacterium 13_2_20CM_2_62_8 13_2_20cm_2_scaffold_4557, whole genome shotgun sequence.
UCCAGGCUCUCAUACAGUGAGCCCACAUACGUGAUGUCUCCGGGUGAAGGGAAGAGGGUGCGAAGCCCUCGCGGUCCCGCCGCUGUGAAUAGGGACGAAACCCGCAAUCGCCACUGGAGUGCCGGUGAAGCGUCGCUCGUGAUACGCUUCACGCGCAAGCUGGGAAGGCGCGGGGAGUAGGCAAAAGACCCUGUAAGCCAGAAGACCUACCCCGGGUACCCGUUGCUA